CAAUAGCGUAUAUUAAAGUUGUUGCAGUUAAAAAGCUCGUAGUUGGAUUUCUGGUGGGAGCGAUCGGUCUGGCGCUUAGCGCGAGUACUUGCAUCGUCUCCGGCCAUCCUUGGGGAGAGUCUGUCUGGCAUUAAGUUGUCGGGCAGAGGAUCCUCAUCGUUUACUGUGAAAAAAUUAGAGUGUUCAAAGCAGGCUUAUGCCGUUGAAUAUAUUAGCAUGGAAUAAUAAGAUAGGACUUUGGUACUAUUUUGUUGGUUUGCGCACCAAAGUAAUGAUUAAUAGGGACAGUUGGGGGUAUUCGUAUUCCGUUGUCAGAGGUGAAGUUCUUGGAUUUACGGAAGACGAACUACUGCGAAAGCAUUUACCAAGGAUGUUUUCAUUAA
rnacentral:rRNA from 1 species